GAAGUGCGAUAAGCAAUGCGAAUUGCAGAAUUCCGCGAAUCAUCAGAUCUUUGAACGCAAAUGGCGCUGAAAGGAUAUCCUUUCAGCAUGUCUAUUUCAGUGUCUGAGAGGUUUCAUACUAAUCUUAAUGUGAUUGAAGGGUUGAAUGAUGAUUGGAACUCUCCUCUCUCAUUCGAUUCUUCUCUCAUGAAAGAUGCGUGAGUGGAUCUUUCGGUCCAAUGAAGUGGUCACAUCACUCGCAUGUGAUUUCAUUGGAGAAAUCACCGAAUUAUCCGUAUACUCACAGUAACAACUACCCCGAAAAAAUGAGGGGGAAAAACACCUUCCAUACCCUGCAUCUGAGAUAGACAAGAUCACCCGCUGAACUUAAGC
rnacentral:misc_RNA from 1 species